rnacentral:rRNA from 1 species
GACGAACGCUGGCGGCGUGCCUAAUACAUGCAAGUCGAGCGAAGUUUUUCUGGUGCUUGCACUAGAAAAACUUAGCGGCGAACGGGUGAGUCACACGUAAAGAACCUGCCUCAUAGACUGGGACAACUAUUGGAAACGAUAGCUAAUACCGGAUAACAGUAUUUCUCGCAUGAGAGAUAUUUAAAAGUUGGUUAUGCUAACACUAUGAGAUGGCUUUGCGGUGCAUUAGCUAGUUGGUGGGGUAAAGGCCCACCAAGGCGACGAUGCAUAGCCGACCUGAGAGGGUGAUCGGCCACACUGGGACUGAGACACGGCCCAGACUCCUACGGGAGGCAGCAGUAGGGAAUCUUCCGCAAUGGGCGAAAGCCUGACGGAGCAACGCCGCGUGAGUGAAGAAGGAUUUCGGUUCGUAAAGCUCUGUUGUUAGGGAAGAAUGGAUAUGUAGUAACUAUACAUGUAAGAGACGGUACCUAACCAGAAAGCCACGGCUAACUACGUG